rnacentral:rRNA from 1 species
AGAGUUUGAUCCUGGCUCAGGAUAAACGCUGGCGGCGCACAUAAGACAUGCAAGUCGAACGGAAGUCGUUAUAAAAGGAGAGAAGAUUUGUCGGAUUGAAUUUUAUAACAAUGGCUUUAGUGGCGGACUGGUGAGUAACGCGUAAGGAACCUACCUAUUAGAGGGGAACAACAAUGAGAAAUCAUUGCUAAUACCGCAUAUGCCAUAACUACCACAUGGUAGAAGUGGGAAAGGAGUAAUCCGCUGAUAGAUGGCCUUGCGUCUGAUUAGUUAGUUGGUGGGGUAACGGCCUACCAAGACGACGAUCAGUAGCCGGACUGAGAGGUUGAACGGCCACAUUGGGACUGAGAUACGGCCCAGACUCCUACGGGAGGCAGCAGUCGGGAAUAUUGCGCAAUGGAGGAAACUCUGACGCAGUGACGCCGCGUGCAGGAAGAAGGUUUUCGGAUUGUAAACUGCUUUAGACAGGGAAGAGAAAGGACAGUACCUGUAGAAUAAGCUCCGGCUAACUACGUGCCAGCAGCCGCGGUAAUACGUAGGGAGCGAGCGUUAUCCGGAUUUAUUGGGUGUAAAGGGUGCGUAGACGGGAAUACAAGUUAGUUGUGAAAUACCUCGGCUUAACUGAGGAACUGCAACUAAAACUAUAUUUCUUGAGUACAGGAGAGGUAAGUGGAAUUCCUAGUGUAGCGGUGAAAUGCGUAGAUAUUAGGAGGAACACCAGUGGCGAAGGCGACUUACUGGACUGAAACUGACGUUGAGGCACGAAAGUGUGGGGAGCAAACAGGAUUAGAUACCCUGGUAGUCCACACCGUAAACGAUGGAUACUAGGUGUAGGAAAUGAUUUCAUUUUCUGUGCCGUCGCAAACGCAAUAAGUAUCCCACCUGGGGAGUACGGCCGCAAGGUUGAAACUCAAAGGAAUUGACGGGGGCCCGCACAAGCAGUGGAGUAUGUGGU